UAGGUUAGUGGGAAAUUAUCUGCCUUCCAAGCAGUUGUUAUAGUUCAAUUCCCAGAU
rnacentral:tRNA from 1 species